AUAACUUACCACUUUGGCUCUGUCAGUGUGAAACUGGUAUACACAUAAAAUCCGCCAUCUCAUAUACAGAGAUUGUCACUGAAGUAUUGUGUCAGAAAGAAGAAGGAAGUGGUCUUUUUUGCUUGCCGCCGUGAAAUAACUUUUCAUUCAGACAAAAAAGAAGAAAGAAGUUAUCGAACAAAAAUGACUGAAAAAAAUCAAAAAGAUAAUUUAUAUUUGGCAAUAAUAUUAACACUGGGGAUUUUUGGUGAUAACUGCUGGGCAGAGCCCCCAAGAAUAAUCAAUGGAAUUUUGAAUGGAUCCGUUAUCUUGUCUGCUAGGAAACAGAUACAUAGUCCUUUUCAGAUCCAGUGGCUGGCUGAUGGCAAGAUAAUUGCAACCUUCUCCAAUGGACAAGUGAAUACUGAUAGAAUUCCAGAAUUCCAAAAUAGGUUGAAUCUUUACAAAGAAAAUGGAUCUUUACAGAUUAACAGACUGCAAAUGAAAGAUGGGACCAACUACAUAGUAAAACUUCUAAUAAGAAACGAUUCCAAAGAUGACGUUGAGAAGUAUGAUGAGGAUAUGAGACUUGUGAUAUAUGAAAAGAUAAAUAAACCUGUACUGGAAGUGAGACACAAUUUCUCAACAUCAAGGAUAUGCAAUUUUUCCAUAAUUUGCUCUACAAAUACAGAACUUUCCACUGUUUCUGAGUGUGACAACAUAGAGGUUUUCCAGUGUUCUAAAUCUUAUGUAAUGGAUCCAAAUUCUACUACUUCCCUUACAAUUACUACAAAUGGCAGCUCCAUAUUGUGCAAUAGCAGUAAUGUGGUUAGUUGGGACUCUGACACAAUUGUUGUCAACGAUGCCUGCUUACAUAACAACAAAGAUAAUGGAAAAGUAAAUCCAUGGAAAAAUACCCGUUCAAGACUGGCGGUAGUCGCAUGUGGUGUCAUUUAUAUUAUCACCCUCAGUUUGUUGUGCUUCAGAGGUAAUAAAAAUUUUAAUUGUACACAAACGUGUAGUUCCUGACCAGAAACAGAACACAUUAAACAAUGAAUGUUUUCAUAUCAUAACUGUUUUGCUUUGUCAACUGUAUGUUCUUCACUCUUCUUUGCGGUCAGAAUAUUUUCCUACAAUCAGCAUAUUUAUUAUUCUGAACCACUGAACGGAGAGGUUUUGCACUGGACUUAUAGUUAACUUCUAUUUCAAUUUCCAAAUUUGCUUAGCCUUCUACAACAUUUGACAGGUCUGCUUAUUAUUCAUGCCUCUUGUGAUAUUUCUGCUACCUCAGAUUGCCAUUAGGUAAUAAUCCUUAUACAACUGCGAGCGAUGGAAAUUCACAAAGCAUGAAAGAAAUGUCAAAUGAACAAAGAAUUAAAGUCUAAUGUCAUGCUAAUAAACAAGAUCAAGUAGGUAGAAUCUGCAUGCAUGGGUACAAAGGAACAGGUAAAGGUUUUUUCUAUGCUGAAAGGAGAAGAGACACAAUGUUUUGGCAGUAAAGCUUUCUUCAGGUGUGUCAUACUAGUUAUAGUUUCCAGCUCCUGCAACUCCAUAGCCGGCUGUCAAUAUCCCAGUGUAGCGUUGAGGCUUAUUAAUAAGGCAGAAUUAAGUGUUUCUGAGCUUUCCCAAAUUAGG
ensembl:lincRNA